GUUUAGGAGUAAGUGUUCAGGAGAUAAAGUUGUGUUUGGAUGUCCUGACUUCCAGGACCAGGGGAUGAAAGAGGAGACACCAAAUUGUAAAGGAGAGCUGGGACCAGAAUUGAAGAGGACCCAAAAUCAGAGAAUGGAUGGUGGCUGGGCCCAGAGACCAGGGACCAGGGUAGUGAGUGAAGUCGCUCAAGUCUUGUCUGACUCUUUGCGACCCCAUGGACCUACCAGGAGCCUACCAGGCUCCUUUACCGUGGGGUUUUCCAAGCAAGAGUACUGGAGUGGGUUGCCACUUCCUUCUCUAAGGUACCAGGGUAAGAGCCGUGGAAACGGUGAAGCCAUUGCCAUGUAUCUGGCAAAGACAUCAGCACUCAGAGCUGGAAGGAAGUCCAGUGAGGUCUGCCAGGCUCCAAGGGGACACUGGAAUUGGAACCAAAUUCCUCUCUUUUAAGAAACUGGGAAGAACACAGUCUAAACACAGAGGCUAUGCAGUCAAAAGUCCUCUGCGGCUCUGUGAGGGGUCCCUGUGGAGAGGAACUGAGGCCCCCGCCAACGGCUGACACCACGCUGGUGGUCCUGUGACCGUGCCAUCCUGGAGGCAAACCCUGCAGUCCAGCCCUGCCUUGUCAUGGCCACAGCCCUGGCUAACACCCACAUGAGUCGCACCAGAGACCCUUGGGCCAGAAGCAUUCACUGGCCCACUCCAGAACUCCAUGGAAAGAUAAUAAGCCCUGGAAUUUUGAGAGGAUAUUUUAAAACAUAGUACAAGGCAAUUUAUGUCAGGCAGGGAAAAAUGCAACCCACCUAUAGGGGGAAAAGUAGGGUCUUUCUCACUGGCCUGGGGCCAAGUCCUUUUUUCUGAC
rnacentral:lncRNA from 1 species